rnacentral:rRNA from 1 species
GAUGAACGCUAGCUACAGGCUUAACACAUGCAAGUCGAGGGGAAACGACAUUGAAAGCUUGCUUUUGAUGGGCGUCGACCGGCGCACGGGUGAGUAACGCGUAUCCAACCUGCCCAUCACUUGGGAAUAACCUUGCGAAAGUAAGACUAAUACCCAAUGAUAUCCCACGAAGGCAUCGGAAUGGGAUUAAAGAUUUAUCGGUGAUGGAUGGGGAUGCGUCUGAUUAGCUUGUUGGCGGGGUAACGGCCCACCAAGGCAACGAUCAGUAGGGGUUCUGAGAGGAAGGUCCCCCACAUUGGAACUGAGACACGGUCCAAACUCGUACGGGAGGCAGCAGUGAGGAAUAUUGGUCAAUGGGCGAGAGCCUGAACCAGCCAAGUAGCGUGCAGGAAGACGGCGCUAUGGGUUGUAAACUGCUUUUAUAAGGGAAUAAAGUGGGUAACGUGUGACUUUUUGCAUGUACCUUAUGAAUAAGGACCGGCUAAUUCCGUG